GAACGGUUCAGGUGGGAGAAUCUGUUGACAACCGUCGGUCUCAGGAGCCACAAAUCCGGCAUCCGAGGAACGUCGUGGUGGAAGAAAGCUGUAACGUAAAUUGUGAUUUGUCCCUCGUGUGCAAAGAUUCUCCUGGAUCCUGCAUUCGGUUCAACGUUUUGCACCAAAGGGACUCGCUUCAGAGAAGAAGGCACUCCUCGCUAUGCGUGAAGACACUCAUCCCACGGAGACAAAAGGAAGUGUUUGGGUAGAUAGACGAUAGAAAUCUAGCUGUUUCAGGCUCCGUAGAGUGGCCAGUUUUUCUCGCUGAACCCGCCUGAUUCUUCCGAACCGACUGAGGGUUUUGGUAUCUUUUCAUUUAGUCAAACAGGUUUCUGUUCACAGAUCUUUUUCCCUCUCUUCAUCCUCAUCCACAUUUUUCAGGAGUGUGGCAUUGCUAAUAAACUGCUUUUAGCUCGUGUC